rnacentral:tRNA from 1 species
CAGGAAGUAGUUUAUUG